AAGAACCCGCGACAAUUCUCCGCCCUGCCGGUCGGGGCGGACGAAACAGGUACCACCGAGCGCCGGGGACAAGCGCGCCGGACCCGGCCUCCGGGUUACGACAAUUGGCGCCCAACGGCGGGCUGAGUGAGAAGGGAUCCAGUGAAGAAACCGAUCAAAGAGAAAAAGAAGAAGAGAAAGAGGUAACGGCCGAGUUGCAGGGCAGCUGCGAUCAGAGAGACGUGCAGCCUGAGGCCGAGUCUUCACAGAGCGAACCCCUGCCUGAGAGCCCUCCCACCACCUGAGCCCCCAGACUCAUUCCUGCAGGGAAGCGGCCCACGGUGCUUCCGUCGGCCCUCCCAGGAGGGGACUCUGGGUACGCACACCGCCAUCGGUGUCCUCGCAGGAGAGGCAGGACGUACUGCCUGCCCCUCUCCUGCCUCAGGACCCGUGGGAACCAGGAAGGGCCAUGGCCAGCAGUUCCGUGUGACCGUGCAGAAACUAAGGCACAGACACUAGGAACUGGCCCAGUGCUGUCUGCCAAGCAGUAACAAAGCAGACCAAAGACACAGUGCGCUGGCCUGGCAACCGUGCUGGAGUGUGCCUGUGCCCAGUUCCUAUCUGUGCUCACAGGCUCUGGCUGGUGUCCCCUCAAGCACAGCCGUGAGGGCUCCUUGGGACUGUCCCGUGGAAGCGCGGAGCAGUGCCUGUGAACUGGGGCGAGCAAGCUGGACGACAGGGAGAGGAGGGGGUGGGAGUCCCAGAGGCGACACCUCCCUGGGCCAGCUCUGCAGGCGUCGCCCGCGCCGGCCCGGAGCACAGUGGGUCAGGACCUGGGCCGUUGCGCCUACGAUCACUUUUUGAGCGCUGUCAACAACAUACUUCAGAAAAGUGCUGAUGACUCAAACCUUCCUAGAGACUGAGCAGGUGAAGAAACGUACUCACAUGUCGAGAGUUUGAAAAUUUGUUUUUAAUGCUUAUUGGUAUUUCUGCAUUAAAAAGUAGCUACAAA